UAUUGGAGUGUCAAAAUGACAAAAUGAAAACCUGGAAAACGAUGGAGAAGAACUGGUAAAGAAGUCGACUCAAAUAAAUGAUCAAGAAGGACUGUAAAGCUGUCAUCCCGUCCUGCAACCACCUAUGUGAAUGUGGAGACUGAUGAGCAAUGGCUAAGGGGUAGCAGCAGGGUAACACUGCAGGAGGCGGUGCCUCCUGAAGGAGCCCAAAACACUGCUCUUCAAAUGGAACACAUCCAACCUUCAGGUGUCCAUGCAGGAUGUACCACUCUGGAACAUCAAGCCUCUCCCUACCUGCCAGCACAUGAAAAUAUUUCUACUUCUGACUAUCAAAGACAAUGGAAAACCAUUUUCCAGAACAGCCCUCACAGAUCCUUCUGAUGGCCUAACAACUAAACUACAUGUCGAUGCUAAGUAUGAGUCAUCUCAAUCAUUUGAGGAAGCUCUCCCUGAUAUAGGGGAUUGGAUGUACAAUGACGGACAUACGUUUAAUGAAGGAUUUGAAGAUAGUUUG